rnacentral:rRNA from 1 species
AACAUUGGAACCACCUUAUCCCAUCCCGAACUCAGCAGUGAAAGGAUGUAUCGCCGAUGUCAGUGUGGGGUUUCCCCAUGUGAGCGUAGGUCCUCGUCAAGA